UGACAGAGCACUGGCAAAGGCUGCCCAGGGGCUGUGGUGUCUCCUCCUUGCAGAUCUCCAGAAACUGCCUGGACAUGGUCCUGAGCACCCUGCACUUGGUGUCCCUGCUGGAAGAAGGGUUGGGCCAGAUGGACCCGGAGGGUCACAGGAUAGCUGAGGCUGGAAGUGACCUCUUGAAGUCACCUGGUCAAACCUUGGUUUAUUUUGAAUGAAACAGCAUCAUACCAGACACUCUGAAGAAAACAAUUCUAUCCCAGCUGAAACUAAGACACCAGGAUGAUGUCCAGACAAUUUAUGAAGAUCUCUAAGGAGGAGACUCCACAGCCUCUCUGUGCCAAUACUCAGUCACCUGCACAGCACAGAAAUGUUCAGGCAGAGCAUCCUCUGUUCCUGUUUGUUCCCCUUGCUUUUUGUCCUGGCAAUGGGCAUUACUGAAUAGAAC
ensembl:lncRNA